rnacentral:rRNA from 1 species
GACGAACGCUGGCGGCGUGCUUAACACAUGCAAGUCGAACGGAAAGGCCCUGCUUUUGUGGGGUUCUCGAGUGGCGAACGGGUGAGUAACACGUGAGUAACCUGCCCUUGACUUUGGGAUAACUUCAGGAAACUGGGGCUAAUACCGGAUAGGAGCUCCUGCUGCAUGGUGGGGGUUGGAAAGUUUCGGCGGUUGGGGAUGGACGCGCGGCUUAUCAGCUUGUUGGUGGGGUAGUGGCUUACCAAGGCUUUGACGGGUAGCCGGCCUGAGAGGGUGACCGGCCACAUUGGGACUGAGAUACGGCCCAGACUCCUACGGGAGGCAGCAGUGGGGAAUAUUGCACAAUGGGCGGAAGCCUGAUGCAGCAACGCCGCGUGCGGGAUGACGGCCUUCGGGUUGUAAACCGCUUUCGCCUGUGACGAAGCGUGAGUGACGGUAAUGGGUAAAGAAGCACCGGCUAACUACGUG